AUUGAACGCUGGCGGCAGGCUUAACACAUGCAAGUCGAGCGGGGGAAGGUAGCUUGCUACCGGACCUAGCGGCGGACGGGUGAGUAAUGCUUAGGAAUCUGCCUAUUAGUGGGGGACAACAUCUCGCAAGGGAUGCUAAUACCGCAUACGUCCUACGGGAGAAAGCAGGGGAUCUUCGGACCUUGCGCUAAUAGAUGAGCCUAAGUCGGAUUAGCUAGUUGGUGGGGUAACGGCCUACCAAGGCGACGAUCUGUAGCGGGUCUGCGAGUAUGAUCAGCCACACUGGGACUUAGACAAGGCCAAGACUGCGACGGGGGGCAGCAGUUGGGAAUAAGCGCAAGGGGGGAAAACCCAGAUCCAGCCAGGCUGCGAGUGGGAAGAAGGCUUUAUGGUUGUAUAGCACUGUGAGCGAGGAGGAGGCUACUCUAGUUAAUACCUAGGGUAAGUGGCCGUUACUCGCAGAAUGAGGACCGGCUAACUCGGUGCCAGCGGCCACCGUAA
rnacentral:rRNA from 1 species